GUUAGUAGGCUGGAUGCAUUAAGAUAUUGAACCCUUCCAAGAAGGAAGGUUGCAUGCCUUUCCCAGAAGGGAAGGAAAACAAGCACAAGAGACUGACUGGGGAAAGGUAUGGCUGGACCCUGUGCUACUGGAUGGAUCUUUUAAUUGAUCAAUGUCUUUUGAUCUUCAUCAGCCUUGUCAACACAGCAGUGUCACCAGGGUUGGGGCCCAGGAAUUGUCUCUUCACAGCUAUUAACCUGGUUAUUCUGUUAAAGUGUGUGUUGGAAAUAAAUUCUCCUAAUCUAA